CAGUCGCCGCGGGAAUACGUAGGUGGCAAGCGUUGUCCGGAAUUAUUGGGCGUAAAGCGUCUGUAGGUGGCUUUUCAAGUCCGCCGUCAAAUCCCAGGGCUCAACCCUGGACAGGCGGUGGAAACUACCAAGCUGGAGUACGGUAGGGGCAGAGGGAAUUUCCGGUAGAGCGGUGAAAUGCGUUGAGAUCGGAAAGAACACCAACGGCGAGAGCACUCUGCUGGGCCGACACUGACACUGAGAGACGAAAGCUAGGGGAGCAAAUGGGAUUAGAUACCCGGGUAGUCCAUGUCUCUUAUAC
rnacentral:rRNA from 1 species